GUCUUCAAAAAGCCCGGCUACUACGUGCCAGCAGCCGCGGUAAUACGUAGGGGGCUAGCGUGGUCCGGAAUCAUUGGGCGUAAAGCGCGUGUAGGCGGUCCGGUAAGUCCGCUGUGAAAGUCGGGGGCUCAACCCUCGGAUGCCGGUGGAUACUGUCGGGCUUGAGUGCGGAAGAGGCGAGUGGAAUUCCUGGUGUAGCGGUGAAAUGCGCAGAUAUCAGGAGGAACACCAAGUGCGAAGGCAGCUCGCUGGGACGUUACUGACGCUGAGACGCGAAAGCGUGGGGAGCAAACAGGAUUAGAUACCCUGGUAGUCCACGCCGUAAACGAUGGGCACUAGGUGUGGGGGGUGUCGACUCCCUCCGUGCCGAAGCUAACGCAUUAAGUGCCCCGCCUGGGGAGUACGGCCGCAAGGCUAAAACUCAAAGGAAUUUACAGGGCCCGCACAAGCAGCGGAGCAUGUGGUUUAAUUCGGACGCAACGCGAAGAAC
rnacentral:rRNA from 1 species